UACGUAGGGCCAAGCGUUGUCCGGAUUUAUUGGGCGUAAAGAGCGUGUAGGCGGCUUGGUAGGUCCGCUGUGAAACUCGAGGCUCAACCUCGAGAUGUCAUCGGAAACUAUUCGGCGUAAGAGUCCGGAAGAGGAGAGUGGAAUUCCUGGUGUAGGCGGUGAAAUGCGCAGAUAUCAGGAAGAACACCUAUGGCGAAAGCAGCUCUCUGGGACGGUACUGACGCUGAGACGCGAAAGCGUGGGGAGC
rnacentral:rRNA from 1 species